CGCCGUCUUCACAACUCGGAGACAAAUUGCAGGCGCUAUGAACCGGAGCAAGGACUAAUCUCGCCUCAUAAUGAGGCGAUGACCUCCUAUUUGCUUGGAGCCAUAUCAGCAAGUCCAGAUUUGCACGAUGUUGAUAAAGACGACAUUGUGUCUGCCUGUAAGACGUAUUAUGAGACGGUACGCAGGAGCUUCAGAUAUACGCAGCCAGCCAACACGUUGCGUGCGGAAGCUGCCAGGCAAUCUGCUCAGAGUCGGGCCAGAAGAAAGAGGGUAAGACUUUAU